rnacentral:rRNA from 1 species
CAGUCGCCGCGGGAACACGUAGGGUGCGAGCGUUAAUCGGAAUUACUGGGCGUAAAGCGUGCGCAGGCGGUUCGUUAAGACAGAUGUGAAAUCCCCGGGCUUAACCUGGGAACUGCAUUUGUGACUGGCGAGCUAGAGUAUGGCAGAGGGGGGUAGAAUUCCACGUGUAGCAGUGAAAUGCGUAGAGAUGUGGAGGAAUACCGAUGGCGAAGGCAGCCCCCUGGGCCAAUACUGACGCUCAUGCACGAAAGCGUGGGGAGCAAACAGGAUUAGAUACCCCAGUAGUCCCUGUCUCUUAUAC